rnacentral:lncRNA from 1 species
CAGGAGUCACCUGAGUCCAUGGAAAAAUACAGAUACUUACGUUACAGUUCAUCCAUAACAGUAGCAAAAUUACAAUUAAGAAGUAGCAAUGAAAAUAAUUUUGUGGUUGGGGGUCACCACAACCUGAGGAACUGGAUUAAAGGGUCUCAGCAUUAGGAAGGAUGAGAACCGCUGCUCUAGAGGGUAGCGAAUGGGCUAGAAGCUGUGGUGCCACCACCCAUGGCCAUUGCUUUGUGCAGUUGUUGUUGAAUGUAAGACUUCCACAUUAGCUGUACUGACGCUCCCUUGUCUUUGGUUCCUCCAGAAUGAGGAGCGCCUCCGACAGGCAGUUGAACUCCUAGGAAAGGCCUCCAGACUGCUGGUACGAGGGCGGAGGUAUGGCUUGGGAGCUGUAUGUCUAUGGAUCCAUGGGUGUUUUGAGUCUACAUUUGGAACUUGUAAAUAACCUUGGAUAUAGCUAUUUGUCUACACUUGGACAACCAGUGGGAAAAAUGAUUUUCUAAGGAGUAGGCCAUGAAAUUCAAACCUGCUUUUCUACUCAUGAAACUCAUGAAAGAACAGUGAGUUAUCUUGACCUGUCAUUGCAUAGUGUUGUGGUGUUCUCUUAGAGUAAGUGACAAAAGCGCCCUACAUACCCACAAACAACAGCUUGUGAUGCUUGAGUUAUAGCAUUAAAUGGGAUUUUUACUCUCUAUAUAAUACAUAUAUAGACUAAAAAUAUACAUACACAUACAUAUAUACAUAUGUAUGUGUAUGUAUAUAAAUUUAUAUAUUUGUAUUUUAAGUGAUUAUUCAAUAUAUCUUGAUCAUUUUCCUCUCUUAUAGCUGCUCCCAGAACCACUCUACCUCUUUAACUACCUGUCUUUAUUUUUCUCUUAUUCUUCCUUUCAUUAAGAAAAAAAAAACUGAUAUAAAAACAAAAAAGUCAAAAUGAAACAAAACUAAUUCUGAGCCCGGGGCCUGCCUGGAGUAUAGUUGAUAGACAUUGUGACAUGCCGGGGAGAAAACUGAUUUUCCCUUUGCCAGUGGGUGUCUAUUGUAGAUAGCUUCUUGGUUAGGGGUAGGAACCCUUAUCCGCUGACCCCUCUGAGUGCUGGGACCCUGUUGC